rnacentral:lncRNA from 1 species
UUUUUUUUUUUUUUUUUUCAGCUGUUACUGUUGAAGAAUCUCUUGGCUUGGACUCAUUUAGCCCCUUGACAUUGUAAGUACGGCCCAUGAGCGUAACCGGUGGUCACUGCUGCUGCAUCCACUGGGUCGUGAGGGAGGCACAGUCAUGAUAACAAACAGUCCUUACUGGCGUUCCCGUCCUGGCGCAGUGGUUAAUGAAUCUGACUAGGAACCAUAAGGUUGCGGGUUCGAUCCCUGGCCUCGCUCCGUGGGUUAAGGAUCCGGCGUUGCCGUGAGCUGUGGUGCUAGGGAUCAAAUCUAUGUCCCCAUGGAUACUAGGCCGAUGCAUUUUCCUGAGCCGCAAUGGGAACUCCAUGAAUUUUAUUUUAAAUGCACUGUGUUUGCCAUCAGAGCAGGACAUCAGAUAAAUACCAGAUGUGACCACCCACAGGGCAUCCUGUGAAGAAAUGUAGACAUAGGCUUAAAAUCCUUUAGCACAAAAAUCUGUAUUUGAGACAGCUCUAAAAACUGAAGGUUUGUGGCCAACUCACCUGGACAUAAAACCAACCUGCUAGAACCGAGUUGAAGGCUAAGUCCAGCCUGAGUUGAAGGCUAAGUCCAGCCUAACCUGAUGUGGGGCUCUUUAAAGUUUCUCUUUAUCCCACUCAUCAUGAACAACCAUGCGUUUUGCUGCAGAUAUAUGAAUAAGAUUCCCUUCAGGGUGCUUCUCUCCGACCCCUCUAGGCCUGGUAUAUAUCUCUGAUAUAUUCACCAUAAGGCCAGUCUAAAUCAGAAAAAAAGCCUGAAUUCAACGCACUGGCCCCAAGGGUUCUGAAUACGGCAUGAGGUCUUUAGAAACAUAAAGCAGGGAAGACCCUAGAUCUCGUCCGGGUCAAUUAAUAUUACGAAUGAGAAAAAGAAGCCUAGACACAUGUGUGCGAGGAGCAGGGAACGUGUUCAGAAUCACGUCCUCAGUCUGGGGCUCAGCCAAGACAGUGCUAUUUCUCCUGCCACCUGCUGCCCACGUGUGCGUGUACGUGUUGAGAACACAGGUGUCUCUGCCCACCACUCCUACUGAGACACUAAGGUGAGCUAUCUGAAAAUGAGUGUGUCACUGGUUAUCACCGUUACCCAUAAUCCUGCUUUGGUUCAGACAAUAUUGACAAUAUGGAAGUUUGAGAGAGGUUAAUUCAAAGCUGUUCUAUAUGACUCUUGAAAAUUAGUCCAGUAAGAUUUUAAUGAACAAUGCAUUUGCAUUGCAUUCAUCUGAAUGCAUUUCCUUUUAGCAGUUAGAAAUGCUAAAUAUGAUUUAUUUUUGUCUUUUUAGAGCCGCCACCUGCGGCAUAUGGAGGCUCCCAGGCUAGGGGUAUAAUUGGAGCUGUAGCCGCCGGC